rnacentral:rRNA from 1 species
GACGAACGCUGGCGGCGUGCUUAACACAUGCAAGUCGAACGGAAAGGCCCUGCUUUUGUGGGGUGCUCGAGUGGCGAACGGGUGAGUAACACGUGAGUAACCUGCCCUUGACUUUGGGAUAACUUCAGGAAACUGGGGCUAAUACCGGAUAGGAGCUCCUGCUGCAUGGUGGGGGUUGGAAAGUUUCGGCGGUUGGGGAUGGACUCGCGGCUUAUCAGCUUGUUGGUGGGGUAGUGGCCUACCAAGGCUUUGACGGGUGGCCGGCCUGAGAGGGUGACCAGCCACAUUGGGACUGAGAUACGGCCCAGACUCCUACGGGAGGCAGCAGUGGGGAAUAUUGCACAAUGGGCGGAAGCCUGAUGCAGCAACGCCGCGUGCGGGAUGACGGCCUUCGGGUUGUAAACCGCUUUCGCCUGUGACGAAGCGUGAGUGACGGUAAUGGGUAAAGAAGCACCGGCUAACUACGUG